rnacentral:rRNA from 1 species
UACGUAGGCAGCAAGCGUUGUUCGGAAUUACUGGGCGUAAAGAGUGUGUAGGCGGUUCUCUAAGUUCGGUGUGAAAUCUCCCGGCUCAACUGGGAGGGUGCGCCGGAAACUGGAGGGCUUGAGUAUGGGAGAGGAAGGCGGAAUUCCUGGUGUAGCGGUGAAAUGCGUAGAUAUCAGGAGGAACACCUGCGGUGUAGACAGCUUUCUGGACCAUCACUGACGCUGAGACACGAAAGCGUGGGUAGCAAACAGG